AUGUGCCCGCCCAGCGCCUGCCCGAGCGCGAACUCCACGCCGCACACCGUGCACCCGUGCCUCCUCGCGGGCACCGGCGCCGGCGCCGGCGCCUGCUCGCUGAUCGGGUCGCCCCGCGGCCGCUUGUGGCUGGCGCGGUGGCCGCCGAGCGCCUGGAACGACGGGAACUGGCGGUUGCACGUCUUGCACUCGAACGCGCGCGGCCGCGCCACCGCCACCGGCUCGCCGCCCCCCAUCGCGGCGCUCCGCGCGGCGAGCAGCAUCAUCACCUCAUGGGCUAUGGCGGCGCCGUCCACCUCCGCCUCCUCGCCAAACCUCAGCCUCUUCAUUGUCGGAUCGAUGGACUGA
rnacentral:rRNA from 1 species